GAUGAACGCUGGCGGCGUGCCUAACACAUGCAAGUCGAACGGAAAGACGAGGAGCUUGCUUCCUUGGCGUUAGCGGCGCGGGGGUGUGAAACAUGUGUAUAACCCACCUAUAUGACGGGGAAAACCUCGGGAAACCGGAGCUUAUACCGGAGAAUCUUCUGAAGCGCAUGGUGGGAAAGUGAAAGACGGCCUUGCUGUCACUUAUCGCUGGUUCCACGCUGCAUUAGCUAGUUGGUAGGGUAACGGCUUACCAAGGCCACGAUGCGUAGCCGACCUGAGGGGGUGAUCGGCCACACUGGAACUGAGACACGGUCCAGACUCCUACGGGAGGCAGCAGUAGGGAAUCUUGCGCAGUGGGCGCAAGCCUGACGCAGCAACGCCGCGUGUGUGAUGAAGGCCUUCGGAUCGUAAAGCUCUGUUAUUGGGGAUGAACAGAUGUGUACUUAGACGUGCACUUAUUGACGGUACCUAAUCAAGAAGCACCGGCUAACUACGUG
rnacentral:rRNA from 1 species